ACCAGUACGGAAAAACUAUUUGAAAUCGUAACACACGCACGAACGGAAGUGAGCACGGACCACGACAGAAGCAAUAUUCAAUUGGUUGGAGUGCCGAAAACAGAACAGGAGAGGAAAGAAGGCAGGAACGAUCCGAU